rnacentral:rRNA from 1 species
AUGCAGCGUAUGGCCACGUCCUAUUUUAAGGAGGUGUAUACAAAGGACCCAACUUUGACGUCGGAGAGUGUCUUGGAGGUUAUUGCACCAAAGGUUACUCAAGGUAGGAACGACUUGCUUUGUGCACCCUUCUUGGAGAAGGAGGUGUCUGAUGCUCUUUUUCAGAUCGGCCCACUCAAAGCGCCUGGAACAGACGGUCUCCCGGCUAGAUUUUUCCAAAGAAAUUGGGCCGUGAUGAAAGCUGAAAUUAUAGCGGUGGUUCUAGAGUUCUUUAAGACAGGAACUAUGCCUGAGGGGGUGAAUGACACGGCUAUCGUUCUUAUUCCGAAAGUUCCCUUUCCUAAGGAACUAAAGGAUUUUAGACCGAUAAGCCUAUGUAAUGUUAUCUAUAAGAUCGUUUCAAAGUGCUUGGUCAACAGGCUACGGCCGAUGCUUGCGGAGUUAAUAUCAGAAAAUCAGAGUGCCUUUGUCCCAGGGAGGCUUAUCUCUGACAAUUCUAUAAUUCCUUUUGAAUGCCUUCAUCAUAUACAAUCAUUGAAACAGACCAGGCAGGCAGCGUGUGCUUAUAAGCUUGAUUUAUCGAAGGCAUAUGAUCGUGUCGAUUGGGACUUUUUGGAGAAAGCUCUUGGCAAGUGGGGCUUUGCCCAACAGUGGAUCUCAUGGAUUAUGGUUUGUGUGAAAUCUGUCAAAUAUUCGGUCAAAUUCAAUAGAUAG